CGACCGGCGCACGGGUGCGUAACGCGUAUGUAACCUACCUAUAACAGGGGCAUAACACUGAGAAAUUGGUACUAAUUCCCCAUAAUAUUCGGAGAGGCAUCUCUCCGGGUUGAAAACUCCGGUGGUUAUAGAUGGACAUGCGUUGUAUUAGCUAGUUGGUGAGGUAACGGCUCACCAAGGCAACGAUACAUAGGGGGACUGAGAGGUUAACCCCCCACACUGGUACUGAGACACGGACCAGACUCCUACGGGAGGCAGCAUG
rnacentral:rRNA from 1 species